UACGGAGGGGGCUAGCGUUGUUCGGAAUUACUGGGCGUAAAGCGCGCGUAGGCGGACCUGCAAGUCGGGUGUGAAAGCCCUCAGCUCAACUGAGGAAGUGCGCCCGAAACUGCAGAGCUUGAGUACCGGAGAGGAUGGCGGAAUUCCCCAAGUAGAGGUGAAAUUCGUAGAUAUGGGGAGGAACACCGGUGGCGAAGGCGGGCAUCUGGACGGUCACUGACGCUGAGACGCGAAAGCGUGGGGAGCAAACGGG
rnacentral:rRNA from 1 species